rnacentral:rRNA from 1 species
UGCGGAAGGAUCAUUGUCGAAACCUGCCCAGCAGAACGACCAGCGAACAAGUUAAAAUUCUCGUGUGCUGGGAAUAUGUGGACGGCCUUGUGCUCCCACCCUUCCCGUGCGCGAGCCGUUGUGGCUGCUCCCCGUGGGAUCCUCCUCGGCAUUUAAAUGAACCCCGGCGCGGAAAGCGUCAAGGAAUAUAAACUACAUAUGAGCAUCCACCUGCUGCCCGGUUAGCCGGUGCAUGGGUGCGGUGCCAUGUCAUAACAUUAAACGACUCUCGGCAACGGAUAUCUCGGCUCUCGCAUCGAUGAAGAACGUAGCGAAAUGCGAUACUUGGUGUGAAUUGCAGAAUCCCGUGAACCAUCGAGUCUUUGAACGCAAGUUGCGCCCGAGGCCUUUGGCUGAGGGCACGUCUGCCUGGGCGUCACGCAUCGCAACCCCCACCCACUUAUGUGGGGGAGGAAGUUGGCUUCCCGUGCCUCACCGGGCGCGGUUGGCCUAAAUUUGGAGCCUAAGGCAUUGAGUUGUCGCGGCGAUAGGUGGUGAACAAGGUCUCGGCCGUGCAAACAACCAGUCGCGCAUCCCUCUGUCACUAAGGCUCGUAGGACCCGUUGAUGUUGCCUUGUUGCGACACAAACGUUGCGACCCCAGGUCAGGCGGGG